CCUACGGGUGGCUGCAGUGAGGAAUAUUGGUCAAUGGGCGGGAGACUGAACCAGCCAAGCCGCGUGAGGGAUGAAGGUACAGAGUAUCGUAAACCUCUUUUGUCAGGGAACAAAGGCGGGGACGCGUCCCCGGAUGAGUGUACCUGAAGAAAAAGCAUCGGCUAACUCCGUGCCAGCAGCCGCGGUAAUACGGAGGAUGCGAGCGUUAUCCGGAUUUAUUGGGUUUAAAGGGUGCGGAGGCGGGCUGUUAAGUCAGCGGUGAAAGCCCGGGGGCCAACCCCCGGCUGGCGGUUGAAACUGGCAGUCUCGAGUUCGAGAGAAGUAUGCGGAAUGCGCGGUGUAGCGGUGAAAUGCAUAGAUAUCGCGCAGAACUCCGAUUGCGAAGGCAGCAUGCCGGCUCCACACUGACGCUGAGGCACGAAAGCGUGGGUAUCGAACAGGAUUAGAUACCCGUGUAGUC
rnacentral:rRNA from 1 species